UACGGAGGGAGCUAGCGUUAUUCGGAAUUACUGGGCGUAAAGCGCACGUAGGCGGCUUUGUAAGUUAGAGGUGAAAGCCUGGAGCUUAACUCCAGAAUUGCCUUUAAGACUGCAUCGCUUGAAUCCAGGAGAGGUGAGCGGAAGUCCGGGUGUAGAGGUGAAAUUCGUAGAUAUUCGGAAGAACACCAGUGGCGAAGGCGGCUCACUGGACUGGUAUUGACGCUGAGGUGCGAAAGCGUGGGGAGCAAACAGGAUUAGAAACCCGCGUAGUCC
rnacentral:rRNA from 1 species